rnacentral:rRNA from 1 species
AUUGAACGCUGGCGGCAGGCCUAACCCAUGCAAGUCGAACGAGUGGCGGACGGGUGGGUAAUGUCUGGGAAUCUGCCCGAUGGAGGGGGAUAUCUACUGGAACCGGUAGCUAAUACCGCAUACUAUCGGAUGUGCCCAGAUGGGAUUAGCUAGUUGGUGGGGUAACGGCUCACCUAGGCGACGAUCCCUAUCUGGUCUGAGAGGAUGACCAGCCACACUGGAACUGAGACACGGUCCAGACUCCUACGGGAGGCAGCAGUGGGGAAUAUUGCACAAUGGGCGCAAGCCUGAUGCAGCCAUGCCGCGUGUAUGAAGAAGGCCUUCGGGUUGUAAAGUACUUUCAGCGAGGAGGCGUUACUCGCAGAAGAAGCAUCGGCUAACUCCGUGCCAGCAGCCGCGGUAAUUC